GUCUGCAGCGGUCUUCAACAAAAUGGGGAAAGUGUUGGCUGUUAUAUUGCUUCUUUUUUCUCUGCUUAGCAUAAUUUAUGCACGAUAUGGUCAGCAGUGCUACGGAUUUUGUGACCAGUAUACGAAUUGUGGUAUUAACGCAGACUGCGACUACAGAUAUAUCUGGAGCGGAUUAUGCUGUAUAUAUCAGGGAGGUUGACACUACUGAGAAGAUGUACAUGUAAUUAAAAAAUGAGAAAAUAAAAAAGACACUUAAAGAG